rnacentral:rRNA from 1 species
UGAAUACGAGACGCUACGGCGUCGAAGCAGUCUAUGUCAUACUUCCAAGAAAAGCUUGCACUGUCAUAAACAAAUAAUGCCUGUACCAUAACCGACACAGGUGGGUAGGUAGAGUAUACUAAGGGGCGCGAGAUAACUCUCUCUAAGGAACUCGGCAAAAUGACUCCGUAACUUCGGGAGAAGGAGUGCCUUAUUUAUAAGGUUGCAAUAACAAGAUCCAAGCAACUGUUUAUCAAAAACACAGGUCUCCGCUAAGUCGUAAGACGAUGUAUGGGGGCUGACGCCUGCCCAGUGCCAGAAGGUUAAAGAAGUUGGUUAGCAUUAGCGAAGCUGAUAACUGAAGCCCUGGUGAACGGCGGCCGUAACAAUAACGGUCCUAAGGUAGCGAAAUUCCUUGUCGGGUAAGUUCCGACCCGCACGAAAGGCGUAAUGAUUUGGAUACUGUCUCGGAGAGGGGCUCGGUGAAAUAGACUUGUCUGUGAAGAUGCGGACUACCUGCACCUGGACAGAAAGACCCUAUGAAGCUUUACUGUAACCUGAAAUUGAAAUUGGACUUUAUUUGCGCAGUAUAGGUGGGAGGCGUUGAGAAUAUUCUUGCGGGAAUAUUGGAGCCAUCAGUGAGAUACCACUCUUGUAAUGUUAGAUUUCUAACUUUGAAUCAUUAUCUGGUCAGAGAACAGUUUCAGGCGGGCAGUUUGACUGGGGCGGUCGCCUCCUAAAUGGUAACGGAGGCGCACAAAGGUUUCCUCUGAACGGGUAGAAAUCGUAUCUAGAGUGUAAAGGCAUAAGGAAGCUUGACUGUGAGACCUACAAGUCGAGCAGGGACGAAAGUCGGUCUUAGUGAUCUGACGGUGCUGAGUGGAAAGGCCGUCACUCAACGGAUAAAAGUUACUCUAGGAUAACAGGCUGAUCUCCCCCAAGAGUUCACAUCGACGGGGAGGUUUGGCACCUCGAUGUCGGCUCAUCGCAUCCUGGGGCGGUAGUACGUCCCAAGGGUUGGGCUGUUCGCCCAUGAAAGCGGUACGCGAGCUGGGUUCAGAACGUCGUGAGACAGUUCGGUCCAUAUCCGGUGUAGGCGUUAGAAUAUUGAGAGGAGCCUUCUUUAGUACGAGAGGACCGAGAAGGACAUACCUCUGGUGUACCAGUUAUCGUGCCAACGGUAAACGCUGGGUAGCUAUGUAUGGAGAGGAUAACCGCUGAAAGCAUCUAAGUGGGAAGCCCACCUCAAGAUAAGUAUUCCC